AUCCCAUUAUACUUAUAAAAGUAAUUAUUUAGGUGCUCCUCAAUGUAAGGAAAGUGAUUUAUCUGAUAUGUUCUCUAAAUGAGGACGUUAUAUUAAACAGAUUUUUAGAACGGGGAGCUGGAAUAAGGGCUUGCUCUUUCUGCUCCAUGCAUCAACCUGGUAUUGCAGUAUCUCCAGGAAUGGUGCCCUUGUU